UACGAGGGGUGCAAGCGUUGCUCGGAAUUAUUGGGCGUAAAGGGUAGGUAGGUGGUCUCAUUUGUCUGGGGUGAAAGCCUUGAGCUUAACUCAAGAAGUGCCCCGGAAACGGUGAGACUGGAGUCUCGGAGAGGGUCGUGGAAUUCCCGGUGUAGCGGUGAAAUGCGUAGAUAUCGAGAGGAACACCAGUGGCGCAAGCGGCUGACUGGCCGAGACCUGACGCUGAGACACGACGGCGUGGGGAGCAAACCGG
rnacentral:rRNA from 1 species